GACGAACGCUGGCGGCGUGCUUAACACAUGCAAGUCAGGGGGCGGGGUAACCCGUCACCGGCGAACGGGUGCGGAACACGUGAGCGACCUGCCCUGGUGUGGGGGAUAGCCGGCCCAACGGCCGGGUAAUACCGCAUACGCCGCCCGCUUGGAAGCGGGAGGCGAAACUCGCAAGAGGCGCUAGGAGGGGCUGGCGGCCUAUCAGCUAGUUGGUGCGGUAGAGGCGCACCACGGCGACGACGGGUAGCUGGUCUGAGAGGAUGGCAGGCCAGACUGGGACAGAGGGACGGAGCGGCGGCCCAGGCUCGGACGGGAGGCAGAAGUGGGGAAUAUGGGGCAAUGGGUGAAAGAGUGACGCAGCGUGGCGGAGUAGGGGAUGAGGCCUUUCGGGGUGUAAACUCCUGUUGGCCGGGACGAAUGCCAAGAAUCGGGGGGGUUGACGGUACCGGGAGAGGAAGCACCGGCUAACUCUGUG
rnacentral:rRNA from 1 species